GGGGGGGGGGGGGGGGGGGGGGGGGGGGGGGGGGGGGGGGGGAGGGGGCGUGAGUUGGUGGGGGGGGCUGGGGGGGGACGGGUGAGUGACCGGGGAGGAGCGUGGGCUGGGCUUUGGUAGAAGGGCAGGAACCUAGGACUGAUACCGGAGCUGAUCCCCUGCUGCAUGGUGAGGCGUGACAAGGGGCGGCGGGAGGGGAUGCACUCGCGGCUUAGCAGCCUGUUGGUGGGGUAGUGGCUUACCAUGGACUUGAAGGGUAGCCGGCCUGAGAGGGUGACCGGCGACAUUGGGACUGAGAUACGGCCCAGAAUCCUACGGGAGGCAGCAGUGGGGAAUAUUGCACAAUGGGCGGAAGCCUGAUGCAGCAACGCCGCGUGCGGGAUGACGGCCUGCGGGUUGUAAACCGCUUUCGCCUGUGACGAAGCGUGAGUGACGGUAAUGGGUAAAGAAGCACCGGCUAACUACGUG
rnacentral:rRNA from 1 species